AUAGGAAUCUCUUGGGAAUCUUGUUAAAAUACAGAUCCAGAUGUCUGGGUAGGCCCACAGAGUCUUCAUUUCUAACAAGUUCCCAGGUAAUGUUGAU
rnacentral:miRNA from 1 species